UGAGCUUCUGCACGGGGAGCAGUUCACCACAGGCUAACCACUUGCUUGCCCUCCAGCACCUACCACAGACCCCACUGCACAUUUCUCUAGCAGAUCAACCUAAGGUCUCUACAGCCACUGAAAAGUCCCCUGGGAGCAAACUGCCUCUAGGCAAGGGACAGUGUUGUGGGUGUAGUGCCCCUAAUCUAGGAAGUUCCAUCUUGAGGUGACCAAAGGCAGACGAGGGCUGCACACAAGGAGCUUCUGUUCUGAUCACCAAGAAUCUCUCCUGACAGAGCAUGCGCACCACGGUGACACUGCCGACUCUGCCCUAGGUGCUUGUGUACCAGGGCCCAAAGCUGGAGGUGUCUCAGAACAGGUGCCUGUGGGUCAGUGGUGUGCGGUGCCAUUCCGUGUAAGAUGUCAUCAUUCCUGUGUGCCCAACCGACUGUAAUGCUUCAAGUGGAUAACAUUCUGAAAUACUGGCUCACUUCUGUCUAUGUCAACCAAACACACAGAAGCCAAGGGAAAAAGACAAGGAAGCGGCAUUGUGAGACGGGACUAGAAGGCCUGAAGGAAACGGAGAACGCCUGUGACUCCUCUGUUCGCAUCUGGUUUCUCUGUGUAGCCCUGACUGUCUUGGAGCUCACUCUGUAGACCAGGCUGGCCUCGAACUCAGAAAUCCGCCUGCCUCUGCCUCCCAAGUGCUGUGAUUACAGGCCUUCUUGUGUGUUCUGAAACCCCAUCAUUACCCAGAGGUCCUUGGCCUAGCGGCUUCUUCCCCCUGGAAGAUGCUUCCCUGUCUAUUUUGUACCAGGGCUCUGAGCAGAGCCCCAUCAGACAUUCCAGAUGUUGGAAGUUCCGAAACUGCUAACAUUGUUAGCAGCUAACAUUACCUGGAUUGUUUGCAGUUGGAAGGAUUUUUUUCUGCUUUUCAAUGAAGGUUGGGGAGCAGUCGAGGGUUUUGUCUACAAAUUGCAAACAGAGAUGAGUCGGUCGCCAUAUUCUAAUGAACAGAUGUUCAACAUCAAAAGUGCAUGGUAAGUUUAUCAGAAUAUAGAUUCUUGGGCCAGAACUAGAAGGUACUAGUUCUAGCAUGUAUGGUGGUCCCCGGAAAGGUCUGAAUUUGACCUUUAUGUGCUUUAUAAGUUGCCUUUAGGGGGCUGGAGAGAUGGCUCAGUGGUUAAGAGCACUGACUGCUCUUCUGAAGGUCCUGAGUUCGAAUUCCAGCAACCACAUGGUGACUCACAACCAUCUGUAAGGAGGUCUGAUGCCCUCUUCUGGUGUGUCUGACAGCUACAAUGUACUUACAUAUAGUAAUAAAUAAAUCUUAAUUUAAAAAUAAAUAAAUAAAUAAAUAAAUAAAUAAAUCUUUAAAAAAAGUUGCCUCUAAAGAGAACAUUGGCAUGAUGGGAAAGAAGCUGGAGAAAAAUCUAUCAGGGAAUCAGACUGUUUGCACUCUGACAGAAGAGGAGCCCAGAGCGGGAGGGAAAGGCUGUUUAAUUUUUUUUUCUCAUAGAGGAAAUAGAUAGAGGUGAAGGAGAACUCACCCAGAGCCUCCAGCGUUGAUGAUGCGGUAACAGUAAGACGCGGGUGAGUGUGACCCUGAAAUAAGUGGGUGCCGUGCAGGAAGGCGUGGUCGGGGUGAGAGGACAGGGAGAGAAGCAAAGUGGGCCUUCAGCGCACUGGACAGGGGCCGCAGCCUGGCCGUGGCGCGGGCUGCUAGCAAUGCUGGGCGGGCACUCGCGGGGAGCCAUUGCUUGUGAGAUGAAACCAUCCAAUGCCUUCUGAUCUCCAAGGAGUGGUCAGCCCACCAUGCACAGGAGGUUAGAGACGGCAGAAGGCAGACAAAGCCAUGGUCGUGAGUAUGGUGUGGAGCUAUAUAUCUGACAGGGGUGCUUACAUGUGUAAAAAAGAGAUGUUUCGAACUGAGAAGUUUCUGAUGUUGGCAGACAGCAUGCAAAUGGGAAUUGAGAGGGCUUCCUAAGCCAGGUCCACUUUCAAGAUCUCUACUGCACACACAACUCACGGUUUCUCCAGGAGAAGGACAUCCUCCUGAGGAUGACUCGGUUACUCAGGUGUAAAAAGAAUCUUCGUCCACCCUCCAGCCUGGUGGAGAAGCUGGAGACGGCUAGAUGGGUCCUUAGAGGCCAUUGCCCAGGACAUGUCAUGAUCUUCCUGACCCUAAAAUGCAUAUGUCUGGACUUGGAAACUACGCAGCCUUGAGGUGAAGAGCCACCUUGGCCCUAAGACCUUGAAUGACUCCAGCUCUGACCUAUUUGGACACUGUGGAAAACACUCCAUGUCCUGGAAGAGAGGUGAUAUCUCAGGAAGCAUGCAGUAGAAUGUGGCCCAGUUGCUGUCGGUGAAUCCUGGAAACAGUAGGUGUAUAUGUAUCUAUUGUCCUUAUCAAAUCUACACUGUAAAGAUAUGUGCUACAUUACCAUAUUUAUGUAUCCAGUGUUGAGGUGAGGAAUCAAAAGGCCCCCACCCAAACUUAAACCAGGUUAGGCCAUCUACUAACGUGCUGAGCUUGCAGAGCUAGCUGGGGACACACGUUAAGUGAGUGGACAUGCUAGAGGGACCUUCAGGAACAUAUGUAGUUUUGGGUGGUGUUGCCAAUACCAUGAGUUUAGCCAUGAACUUCAUAAAGCUUAAACAUAAAAUCCACACGGAGCCAUGCGGGUAUACAUUUAGCAGUGACUCGGAUAGAAAGGUGGUUGCUGCACAGAAUCUGGCUCCCUAGAACCCCGAAGCCUUGGCCUCCCAUCACGAUGCCCCUUUCCCACGCCACCACGGCCACGGUGCCCUUCCACUAAGCAGCAAGUGUCUAGCCAAACCGAAAGAUGCCAAGGCUGACAAAACUGUCCUGUGUGCUCACAUUGCACAAUUAGGGGAAGUGACCUGAGGAUGCAGAGCUCACUGGGCACCGGGAAGAUUUCUGCAGUCUUUACAAGAAAUGACCUGCUGGGAUUUCCCCAGACACCAUGCAUGGUUAUAUCAUCGUACUGUAUAAAAAAAAAUCUUCGAUGUUUGCUGAAUAUAUUUUCAGGAGGAUGUGAGAAUAUUUAUAAAGCUUGACAAAACGUGGAUUAUUUUUAUAGUCAUAUGUAUUUCUUAUUGUUACUUCUGUGUACAUAUGUGUGUCCGUGUGAGUUUGUUUGCAUCAUAUACACAUAGAAGCCCAUAGAGUAUUUGAUCCUUUGAAACUGAAUUAGGGGCAGCUGUGGGAUGUCUGAAGUGGGUGCUGGGAAGCAAACUCAGAUCCUAUGAAAGGGCAGCACGUGCUCCUUACUGCCAGGCCAUCUCGACAGCGGAAGACUAUUAUUUUCUUAUUUUUUAAAAGAUUUAUUUAUUUAUUAUAUGUAAGUAUACUGUAGCUGUCUUCAGACACCAGAGGAGGGCAUCAGAUCUCAUUACAGAUGGUUGUGAGCCAUCAUGUGGUUGCUGGGAUUUGAACUCAGGACCUUUAAGAGAGAAGUUAGUGCUCUUACCCGCUGAGCCAUCUCACCAGCCCCGACUUUUAUUUUCUUAUUUUGUGAAAUAGUGAAAAUAAUUGGGGCUCAAAUAGUUGCUACGCCUCAUCACAAAAAGUUCUUCCAAACAUGCUCCAGGGCUGGAUCAGAUUCAGGCUCUGAGGGCCGACUGGUCUGUUCUGUUUGCUUGUUUGUUGGCCCCUGCAGUGUAAGCAGUAUAAGGCUGGACCUUUGGUACAGGGGAUGUGUCGGCCCAGUGGACACCUCUCCGAGUCCCACUAGAACAGACAUGUUAUCCCAGGCGAUGUGGCAGACACCACACAUCAGUCACAUGGAGACAGGGUAGCCCCAACCUCUGCUGUCACUGUGAAGUUGCAAGGUUAAAACUCCUUGGAAUCAUUAUCUAAACAAGAGUCUCAGAAGGUAACCAGACUGCAGCAAGCUUUGACGUUUGUUUGUUUGUUUGUUUGUUUGUUUUUAUUUUCUGAGACUUUAACCUCUAAAAAAUGAGGUAGACUGGUCAGAUUUGUAACUUGCUAGCCAGGUCACAUUGACCAUACCUGACCUCAUGUUCGCUAAUGGUAUGUGUGCCUGUAAGACACCUGUAAAGUCAAAUACGCUCUCCAUACCCCUCUCAUCCCCUUCAAAGCUGUAUACCCUAGGAGUCUGAAAGUCUAUUUCUCACUCAUACCGAGGGAGAGGAGCAGGAUGACGGGAGCUUGAAUGGCAGAAAGAAGAGCCUAAAUGAGCUUGUCUGUCGGAGGGACAGAGCCCAGCAGAGAGAGGAGGAACAGGAACCUAGUGUCAGGCUGCCUCCUCCAUCAGUCUUCAGUUGGUAAUGACGUCAUCUUGUCUAGACUGGCUGGGGUAUGGAGAAUCCUCUCCCUAGAAUAUUUCUAGUUAAGAAGAACAGGACAGGGAGCUGGAGAGAUGGCUCAGCGCUUAAGAGCACCAACUGCUCUUCCAGAGGUCCUAAGUUCAAUUCCCAGCAACCACAUGGUAGCUCACACCCAUCUGUAAUGGGGUAUGUGCCCUCUUCUGCUGUGUCUGAAGAGAGCAAUGGUGGUAUACUCAUGUGUAUAAAAUAAAUAAAAAAUGAAGACCAGGACAGAUUGUUUUCUGGAUGGCAGCUGGGUGUGUCCUGUACAGAGCCAUAUUGGGGCUGGCACGAGAGAAUUUCCUGAGGUAGCCCUAUCCAGCGAAGCUUCGCAGAAAAGGUGAAAAUUAAUGGUAUCCGCACGGUAAGCAACAUAGAGGUCAAAACUAGCGCUAGUGAAUUCGUGUCUAUUGUUGUGAGUGCAGGAAGGGAUACAGUUUUUCAAGCAUACUGUGUGGACCCAGCGCAGGGACUGCUUGGGUUGAUAAGAUAGGGAAAUAUGGGGAAGGAAUUUGGUAGGCAUUUGCCCAAAGCUCGUAAGAGCUGAUUUCGGCGAAAAGAAAGGGGUUUUUAAAAAUAGGCAUAUGUCCACAGCUUCUAAGAGCUGUUUAAAAAGGAAAAUGGAUGCAAUUGCUUAACAAGCACGCUUAACUUUCUGUAUAUCUUUCUGUGUUUGUCCCGGUGCACCGACUGUCUAUGUGUAUGUUUAUGUCCUCUCUGUGUCUUUGUGUGAAUGACUGUUUCAUGUUAAAAAGAAAAAUUGGUAAGGAUUUCAUCUGCUGGCAACCUCUUGAGCCAGCCACAGUUUGUGUGGAGAUUGAUUUAAAGGCGCGCUGCAGCAGCGUAGCUCACUCUCACCCAAGAGGCAAGCAUGGCUGGGGAAAAAGCCGCUCUUAAAAGCCCAGAAACCUCGAGAUUUGGGAAGACCUUAGUUUGACUUGUGAAAUUCAUGUAGUCGCUUUAUACUUGUUUCUAAUUGGUUUUAAUGGUAUAAGGCUUUACAUUUCUUGACUUAAGAGUUAUAAAUUAAUUGGUUAUUAUGUAAAAGGUAUAGUGUUAUUAAGAAAAGGUUAGCUUAAAACUGGUGAUUCAGUGUUAGAGCUAUCUUAACUAACUACACGUGGCCUAACGCCACUCAUGCUUUGUUCUUGUUUAUAAUUAGAUUUAAAGGUAUAUUUUACAUGUCUUGACUAUAGAGUAUUGGCUUAAGUCACUGGACAUGAUUUAAAAGGUAUAAUGUUAUUAACAAAAGUUAGGUUAAGGCUGGUAGUUUAGGGUAGUCGCCAUUUUGAACAACACCACGUGGCAUGACGGUUAAGGCUGGUAGUUUAGGGUAGCCGCCAUUUUAGACAACACGUGGCAUGACGCAAUCCAGGAAAUACAGGCCUUUGGGACGCUCCUAAAUUGACAUGGUGUUUCAUGUGAAUCUUGGCCUGGAGAUUAGACUUAAUGAAGAUUAAGAUUUAAAAUAUUGUCUCUUUAAUAAGUUACACUGUUAUACACUUGAACAUAAGAACUGGCAUACAAACCUUGUGCUGUAAAUAUGUGUUUGCCAUUGAUUUUAAAGAAAAUAGAUUGUUUAAAAUUGAGAUUUGCUUCCAAAAUUACAAUUGUGCUCUAAUAUUGCAAGAAAACAUUGAGUUACAAUAAAAAUCAGUGUGUCAUUGGCUGCAGUUUUCAGUUUACAGGCUCAUAAUUGUUAACAUUUUGUAAUUAUGAUAAUUUUGAGAGUGAUGCAGCUAUGGGUUUUAGAGGCCCAUUGCCACUUUUCCACAAGUUUAUAGGCUACAAUGGUAGGAGCAAAAUUUAACCCUCCAAGAUUAAAGAGGAGAUCUCUGUGGAAAUGUAUUUGAUAUCAAGUAGGUUCCUUUGACCAUGGAAUUACUGGUUUCUUUUGUUUAAUCCUUAAAUUGUCCUUGUAGGUUUGGGUCUGGUCUUAGAUAAAAGGCUCAGAUUAGAAGAUAUUUACAUUUGAGGAAUCUCAUACAAUGUCCUUGCCAAGGACUCAAGGUGGAUCCUAGGGCAGAUAAAUAAUAAAAAAAAAAAUGUGUUUUGUCUCUGUUUCAAUACUAGAAGUUAAGAUCUUAAAAUUUUCAGUGUAUAAUGUUCAUAGAAUGUUUGUUACAGGCCCUUGCUCCUAUGGACUUUUAGAAUUUUUAGGUAAAUGGCUUUCAAAGGUUGUUAGGAUAUAUUAAUUGGCUUUAUCUUAUUUACCUCAUUUUAAGCUUGCCACAGAAGGUCUUAAACCUCUGUUUUCAAGGUAGGAAACGUUUGUUCCUUGCUUCAAGCAACAAUCAAAUUUAUUAUUAAUGGUUGGUCUAUUACAUGACAAGCAUUUUUAGGCAAAAUUAAUAAUUGUUAUCCAAAAGAUAAUUUGUACUAUCAGAUCACAUGUUUAUUCCUUUGUUUCUCCCUGCUUCAACACAGAUACCUGAAUUGGGUGCUAUAGCAGCUAUUUUUAAGAUGUUAAAGGUCAAGCUUUUAAUAAUAGUAGAUAUAUAUAUAUAUAGCUCAUGGUUUAUAAUUGCUUAAAAUUGGUCCACUUUUAAUACUGCUAAUUCUUAAUUUCUACAGUUUAUACAAAUGUGAUUCAAAUUUCUAAGAACAAAGGAUAUGUUCUCUAAAUGACUGUCCUUUAGGUAUUUGAAAUUUAUAUUUUGUACACAUCAAAUUGUAAAGAUUUGUUCUUGAUGUCCUCAAUUUCUACCUCUACCACGUAAUGGUGUUAAUCCUAGAGGACUUAGUUAUUACAGAUAAAUGAUAUUCAUAUUUCUAAUUUAAAAGAUAAAAAAAAAUAUGUACAUGUGACUAAUGAUUCUUUUUUAGGCUGUCUAGUUACAACUGCUCUAACAGAAAAACCAACUAAAAAUGCUAUGUUUAUUUUAUAUAAUUACAUAGUUAUUGCCUAUGUUAUGGGUUAUACUUUGUGUUCCAACUUAAAUUAAUAAAACAAUAUCUUCUUAGAAGAAAGAAGAGAGGGGAAAUCGUGUCCCUGUACAUAUCAUUUAAAUUAUGCUUGCAUGUUUUUAAGAAAAUUUUAAAAUUUAGAUGCCAAGAAACUCCUUGCUAAAUGUAUAUGACAUCUUGUAAUUAGACAUAUUGAUGUCUAGGUGAAAUGAAGGAAUUCACUUACUAACAUAUGCCAUGAUCCUGAUUUAAUAUUGGGGGAGAAGGCAUGUCCUCUGUUUUUUCCACAGAAUGCUACAGAAGAUAUGCUGACUGUGCUUGCUGAAUGCCCAGACCAUGGUAACAUAAGAGCUAUAUUGGGUAUAUGUUCUUGACUUACCUCAAUUGUCAAAUGUCCCAGGUUAGAUAAAUUGCCUAGCUUCAAGCUUUUAGACUUUGUGGGACAGAACAUAGAGACUGUUAAGCUAGCUUAGGAAAAAUUAAUCUAAAGAAGAGUUAAAAUGACUCUUCUCCUUAUUGUGUUCAGCUGACUCAACCAUAGACUGGUCUAGAAAUAAUUCCAAUAUUGAAGAUUCCAAUUUUGAAGAUGGCUAACAAUCUUCAGCCAGCUGUGUUAAUUUAACAUAUAGUCUCCACUUUUCCUGAGAAGUAACAGCUUAUUUCUUUAUACACAAGGCUACCUCUCCCACCUCAGAGGCCAAGCUUUGGGUCCUUAAAGUUGUUAAUUUACAACUGAAUUGGAUACUUCUGGGACAAGUUAAUCCUAUUCCACCUUUAACUCUUGACCUUGUCUGUUAAGCAGACUGGCUGUCUCCACCCAGGCUCACCUGGAUGGAGAGAUUGCAUGUCUGUUAAAGACACUUGCAGACCCCCCUGGCUUCAAAACUUACACAAGUGGAUCUCCAAAGAGGGAGCCACAUAGAACUCAGAUCUAUGUGUGUUUGUUUAUGAACAAACAUGGGUACCAGCGAGACGUGCGAGGCAAAGCACUGCAUGGGGAGGUGAAUUUCUGCUUCUGAGUCCCCAGGAAGUACACCUAAUUGCAUAGGGGUUAACGUCGAGAGGCUGUCCUUAAAAUAAUAAGGGAGCCUAUUACCCCUCCUCUGAAAAAGACGUU